UACGAACUGUGCGAACGUUAUUCGGAAUCACUGGGCUUACAGGGUGCGUAGGCGGCUUGUUGAGUAGGGUGUGAAAGCCCCCGGCUCAACCGGGGAAUGGCGCCCUAAACUGGCGAGCUAGAGUGAGAUAGGGGUGUGUGGAACUUCCGGUGGAGCGGUGAAAUGUGUUGAUAUCGGAAGGAACGCCGGUGGCGAAAGCGACACACUGGAUCUUGUCUGACGCUGAGGCACGAAAGCCAGGGGAGCGAACGGG
rnacentral:rRNA from 1 species